UCGGCUGCCUGGGCUCAAUCCACUCUUAUCAAAUCCUCGGACCUUCGUUGGUGUGGUGGAAAGGGCGAGUUGCUGAAGGUUGACUUGCCCACAAAAGCUUUGCCAGAUUGAAAGUCGACCUCCCUCUGCAGGUUGAACUUAAGCCACAAGUUUAACUCUUUGUCAAAGGCGAGGGUAUGCUUCAACCCAUUGUCUAUGAAGGAAGAACAUCCUUUGGCCGGCCGAUUGUGUGGCAUUAACUCUCAUGGUCCUACUAAAUGCCUCUCUCGGCUGGCCCAUGAGCACCAAGCUUCCUGUUGAGGAUGGCUUAGAGUGUUUUAGAAACCAACCUCCGAGGGAGCGAUCUGCCAUGACCGAAAAGCCUUUUGUGGCAGGCAUCGACAGAUUUCAAGCAUUGACAGAAGAGCAAGAAGAAGAAGGGCAUGGGCACUCAGAAGAGCGUGAUGACAGCUUGAGCGAUCACUCUCCCUUGCCUCUCAGGGUUUAGCAGUCGGCCCUCAACAACAAGAAGCAAAGCAGGGAGAAUCGUGGGAAGAAGACCCCGAUUGUAGAUUCAAGUCAAGGGGCAAGCAAAGAAAGUACUCCGGCCACCACAGCGGUAAAUCUUUUCUCCUCUUCAACCGAGAAGAACGCUAAGGGCUUGAUCCACCCUCCUCCAAAACACUUCCUCAGGUUAAAAGACAGGAAAAACAAUCCCCUAUGUAGCCCAAUCAGCUAGAGGAGAGGCCGUAAAAGGAAGGGAAGUACUCCAAGACAUAAGCAAUUCGUGUCUUGCUCGUUUGGCGGUGGAGGACAUGCGAGGAAAAAGGAAACGAGUAUGUGGGGGGCUUCAAUUUUGAAAGCCAGGGAGAGCACGACACAUAUCUCUUGUUGAAGAAUGAGAAAUCACAUGAAACGUCAAGAGCUCAGGCGACUGAUUUCUACUAUGAUACCGGUAUCCAAAGAGUACAUACAUAAGUUUGAUGGUGGGCUAUCGUGAAUGCACUAGGUCUACUUCAAGACUAACUUCAUAAAAGCUAGUGCAAUCAUUAGAAUUGUUCUAAAUUACUAUUCUCGUACAUGCUUUCAUAAAAUAAUUUUAAUGUGGAUUUGAAUGAUUGUUUGAAUUGAUAGUUCAAUUAAAUUAUCAAAUACCGUCCAUAACAACUUGGGUAA